rnacentral:rRNA from 1 species
UACGGAGGGGGCAAGCGUUGUCCGGAUUCAUUGGGCGUAAAGAGCUCGUAGGCGGCUUGGCAAGUCGGGUGUGAAAACUUCAGGCUCAACCUGGAGACGCCACCCGAUACUGCCAUGGCUAGAGUCCGGUAGGGGACCACGGAAUUCCUGGUGUAGCGGUGAAAUGCGCAGAUAUCAGGAGGAACACCGGUGGCGAAGGCGGUGGUCUGGGCCGGAACUGACGCUGAGGAGCGAAAGCGUGGGGAGCGAACAGG